GGGUUGUGAGGUUAAGCGACUAAGCGUACACGGUGGAUGCCCUGGCAGUCAGAGGCGAUGAAGGGCGUGCUAAUCUGCGAUAAGCGCCGGUAAGGUGAUAUGAACCGUUAUAACCGGCGAUACCCGAAUGGGGAAACCCAGUGUGAUUCGUCACACUAUCAUUAACUGAAUCCAUAGGUUAAUGAGGCGAACCGGGGGAACUGAAACAUCUAAGUACCCCGAGGAAAAGAAAUCAACCGAGAUUCCCCCAGUAGCGGCGAGCGAACGGGGAGGAGCCCAGAGCCUGAAUCAGCAUGUGUGUUAGUGGAAGCGUCUGGAAAGGCGCGCGAUACAGGGUGACAGCCCCGUACACAAAAGCGCAUAUGCUGUGAGCUCGAUGAGUAGGGCGGGACACGUGGUAUCCUGUCUGAAUAUGGGGGGACCAUCCUCCAAGGCUAAAUACUCCUGACUGACCGAUAGUGAACCAGUACCGUGAGGGAAAGGCGAAAAGAACCCCGGCGAGGGGAGUGAAAAAGAACCUGAAACCGUGUACGUACAAGCAGUGGGAGCCCCACCACUAAGCCAGUGGUGAACUCCACAUACGCAUCCUUUGCUGAGGAUACGGUUAACGGAGCGAAAGCGACGUUCAACCUCAAAAGAAGCAGAGGGGGCUUAGUGGUGG
rnacentral:rRNA from 3 species